AUGAAAAAAAAUAAAAAUCACAAAAUCCCUUUGUAAAACCAUAACCGUCCCUUCUUCAACCCGAGUCCCCACCAUCCUUCUUCAACCCUAGCCACCUGCAACUGAAGAUUAACACAAUGGUGGUCUGCACCUCUGGAGCUCUAACCCAACUUCGCACCUCGUGGACGACACCCGGGUCGUCACUUCCAUCGAUGAUCAAAGCUGCGAUUUUGAUGCUUGGGCUGAGCCACCCAUGAUCCAGAACCUUGUUGUUAUGAUUCCAGGGCUGUUGGGCACCAUUAACAGACAUUAAGAGAAUGCAAUCAUAAUGGAAAACAUGAACAGAAAUCUUGAAGAACAAGUAAAAAAAUGGCUAAGGAGAACAAGAUGCUUAAAGUGAUCCUAGGGUUCAGUUGGUUCUUAGUCAGGAUGUGGGUUGUGUUAGUUUGGUCUAGGUGAACAAGUAUUGGGCGUUUGUA
rnacentral:lncRNA from 1 species